rnacentral:lncRNA from 1 species
UGUAGCAAUAGCCUGGACCUCGAAAUGCCAGGAAGCGUUUUCAAGAUCUAUUGUUGAUAAUAUAUAAUAUCUUACAAGUUAUUUAAUUCUCUAAUGUAUGGGAAGCAGCGUAGCAUCGUCCUUGCUGUUGCUAUGGUAUUUAUUGCUGUUGAGCCUUCAGGAAACCUCUCUGCAUCUCGGUUUCCUCAUCUAUAAAAUGGAGAUGAUAACUGUACUUACAUCAUGGAGCUGCUAUGAGGAUCAAAGAAGUUAUCAACACUUCAGAAUAUGGCCAGCACAUAGGAACAAUAUAUCUAUUUGCUAAAUCGAAGGAUAAAAAGAAACCUACUUUGUAUGGAAAAGGAGAAAGAAAAGAGUAAGAUUGAACUAUGCUUUGCUGCAUGGUGGGUUUGAUGAAAGUGGAGUCACGCUGAUUGGUGCUCAAGAUAAAUGUCUUAGGGGAAGACUCAUACCCAGUGGAAUUUUUUUUAGUGAAAUAUCGUGGCUCAUGGACUGUGAGAUUUGUCAUUUGUUUUCAAUAAAAUGAUAAAAAUCAUAA